UUGGUAGCGCGUUUGUUUUGGGUACAAAAUGUCACGGGUUCAAAUCCUGUCAUCCCUAUCCCUAACUAUUCCUU
rnacentral:tRNA from 1 species